GGAGCUGCAUAAACUGUGAUGUGAGAUAAGGGCAGAUCCCUUGGACGUUCUACAGGAGCUAUCUGUGGGACCGGGUUACAGCUUCUCUGUGUCCAACGCCACUCCCAGGCUCCUGAUCAAGCGUCUGAGCUCUGAUACUACAGUCUUCUGGGCACAGGUCCAGUUCCUUAUCUACUGUACCAGCUGCGCGAAUCGGUUUUGUCCUGCAUGGGUGCUGGUGUGGCAGAACUGCUCUGCUCUUAUCUGUUCAGCUCCACCCCUCCUGCCCAUGGCUGGAGUCCCCCAGUGCCACUCUCCACAGCCAACUCCUGGGGUCUGCGGUCCACCAUGUUCCCCCAGCCUGGGAGGGUGCUGGGAUGGUCCCGUACUUUAUUGUGGUGAUACUCUACGAUGCUCAUAAUGUAGUUUCAAAAAUGGCUUAAAAUGAACUCCUACACUCUGAGGUUUGUACAUUACGCUCUUUACAGCGUUUUACUCAUGUACGCAGCAAGCUAUUUUGUACCGUAUCAGUUCAAGUACCUCGAUCAGGGGUAUUACAGCAGGAAGUGUGAUUCAAAGCAAAGUCUUUUUAAUUCAAGGUGAGCACACCAACUGCUACGCCACCUACUGACCACAAAGCAGAUCAGUAGAUUUUUAAUUUCGAUCAUCAGCACAACCAAAAAUUCUUUUUUUUUUUUUUUUUUUUAAAAAGCUGGAAUGGCACUACACAAAGGUUCCCUCUGCAGUUGAGCAGUUGUACCAUUUAUGAACCUGGCUGGUUAAUGAUAAACAUGGUACGAUUAGUAACUGGUCUCUUUAAAGUGACAGCGCAGCUCACUGAGGGGACACCUCCGACCGCACUGCAGUACAAGUGUACAGUACAGGAGUGUAGCAACCACCUUCAAGCCUUAGUGAAGCCAGUCUGAAAGACGGAGGAUGGUCCACAUAUGUGAAGCGACAGCGCCUCCCACUGGCCCGUCAGCAAAACAUACUGCUCCCUAGUCCUGCUCCAGCCACAGGUUGUUGGACGUGGGGACAGAGCCCCGCUCGAACCGUGGGCGGUGUCGCAGGCUGCUGUGCUGCUCCAGCAUGAGGCAGAGGCCCCUGAUGUAGACGGACCCAGUGGCCUGGUUUCUCCAGGAGAAGUAGC